GAUGUGCACUGCAGGACACAUGAACACCGACACGUUGAACGCAUAUGGCGCAUCGGCUCGCCUCAAAACGACCGAUGCACACAUCCUUGAGUGUCUACUUACGUUGCCCAAACCACCCGGGCCCCGUUCGCGCGGGGUCCGUCAUUCGACUACAACAUGCCGCGCGGAUCGCAGAUCGAGGCGGACGUUGUGCAUAACGGCGUGCUGGGUGCGGCUUCGCGUCGCCCCAGGGCGUUGAUCCGGGUGAGUUGGAUUCGAGCGGGCGCGGCCGGCCAUCACUGGCCUGCACGCGCUUGGCGCGCGCGGUCCCCUGAUCGUUAGAUGUUGCGCUCGUAGCCCUUCCCUAGGUUGGCUACAAUGGCGCCAGAUGCUUCCGAUCGUUUCGGGGGACCCGACAGUUCGCGCCUCGCGGUCGGUGCCUACAAGGUUGCCCGUUCGCCCUCGCGCACUCCGGUGCGCUUGGGUGCGGUGCACACAGCGAUGUACGCCGCCGUCGUCCGCCCGAGCCAUGUCCACACUUGCUCGAGGCCGUCGCUUAUGCGGCGGCCAACCCAACAACAACACGUAGACCUCAGGUGAUGUGUGGUAACCCCCGGAAUUUAAGCAUAUUAAUAAGGGGAGGAAAAGAAACCAACCGGGAUUCCCUGAGUAGCUG
rnacentral:rRNA from 1 species